rnacentral:tRNA from 1 species
CAGAGAAUAGUUUAAAUAAAAUAUUAAUUUUGGAGAUUAAUGAUAAGAUGGGUCUUUUCUCUGA